rnacentral:rRNA from 1 species
AUACGGAGGAUCCGAGCGUUAUCCGGAUUUAUUGGGUUUAAAGGGAGCGUAGGUGGACAGUUAAGUCAGUUGUGAAAGUUUGCGGCUCAACCGUAAAUUGCAGUUGAUACUGGUUGUCUUGAGUACAGUAGAGGUGGGCGGAAUUCGUGGUGUAGCGGUGAAAUGCUUAGAUAUCACGAAGAACUCCGAUCGCGAAGGCAGCUCACCGGGCCGGAACUGACACUGAUGCUCGAAAGUGCGGGUAUCAAACAGGAUUAGAUACCCUGGUAGUCCGCACAGUAAACGAUGAAUACUCGCUGUUUGCGAUACACCGUAAGCGGCCAAGCGAAAGCGUUAAGUAUUCCACCUGGGGAGUUCGCCGGCAACGGUGAAACUCAAAUGAAUUGACGGGG